UGUCAUUUUCUUGUUUUUUUGGCUGUUGCUGGGAAUAUUUUAGAUGAUUACAAGCAUAGGUCAUUGAAUCUUCUACUAGAGUUUGAUCUGAGUGUGUUCCCUCGUCCCUUAUUGCCCUGCUUGUGGUAUUUGGCAGUUUUGCAGUGUUAUUUCAGUGUGACUUUUAUUUGUCAUCAGAGUAUGUCAUGGAGGAGAUGGUCUAACUUAACUUUUCAUGCAUUGUAGUAAUCAGGCUGCAGCACCCUGGUGCAGAUCCCCUGGGAGUGACCACAGGCGCUUCAUGUGACCAACCACCCAGCCUGCCCCCCUCCCCUCCUCUGAAACCAGUUGAUGAAUGCUGAGGAUAAGUGGCAUGCCUCAUGCUGGAAAGAGGCAGUGGUGGCUCUGAUCCCCAGAUACCCCCGGACAUAAUGUUCAACCAGAUACCUGGGCAUCCUGUGGCCUAAGUUGACACAUAAAAUGAACCAUCACAGGGGACAGGUUGUUUGGAGUAAGAUGAUUCAUUCUUCCUAUCUGGAAAGAGCUUUAUCUUCUUUGUUACCGUCUCCUGCUCUGGUCACCAGACAGAACAGGGUGCUGCUGCUUCUGCUUAGAGGUGUGCGUGAUGCCCUCUUCUUGCCAUCACAAGCGCCUACCCCUCCUACACUCUCUCUGUCCCGCCCCCCUCCAUCAUACCAGAACUAGACCAUAGAGGAAAAGAUCAUGCACUUGGUGUUUAGGGAGAUUCCGUUUAUUCUUCCUACUCGGGGGAUGCAGUCACUGUGCCCGUGGGUCCUGUCACUGGGGCAGAUUCAGAUGGGGUUACCCUCAGGCUCUUCUGCACUUGGUGCCCUAUGGGGGUUGGGGGCUGCUGAACGGGCACAAGCGUCGAUGAUACCUAGUAGGAAAGGAAAGUCUCCCAAAGAGAGGCCUCAGCAAAGUGCUGUUAGAGUUAAAGGCAAAAAUGACUCGAGCUAGGGCUUGAGCUAUGACUGAGAUUGAAUGUGGAGGCCUUGCAGGAAUGGUAAAGAGUCUUCCAGGAGAGAUACAAAAGGCAAAGGGAGACCAUUGGUAGGCUGGAAAGAAACCCAAAUUGGACUUUGUAUUCUGAACCGAGAGGCGCUGUCAUUAGCCAUCUUGCACUUGAGACAAGAUGCCAUGAACUUUGCCUGGCUUUUUCCUGGUGAGGCCCUUUCCUCUAUGUAACUUGCCCACCUCCCAGACCCUGUGCUAGAGUUCUUUCUCUGAUGAAAGUUUUUCGUAACCCCCAGACACUACAGCAGCAGGAUAGCUCCCUUGGCUUCACUCCCUGACAGUUGUCUCUGUAGAUCCUGCGUGAGUCAUUCCAUGAAAGUGCUACAGAAAUAGUCUUAGUUUCAAAAUCUUUAAACUCAGUUGUUUUUGAAAUAUAACACAUUGCAUUUGUGAUGUGUGUUUGUGACCAAAGUUCAGAGAAAACUAUAAACUAGAAAGAACUCAGGUAGGGGGGAAUAUAAAAUGUAUAGUUACUCUGGAAAACAGUUUGACGCUUUCUUAAAAAACUAAGUAUGCAUCUACUGUAAGACUCAGUAAUUGUAUUCUUGGGCAUUUCUCCCAGAGAAAUGAAAAUUUAUGUUCACAUGAAAACCUGUGUGAAUGUUCAUAGCAGCUUUACUUGUAGAGGUCAAAAAUGAGAAGCAACCAGAAUGUCCUAUCAUAGGUGAAUGAUUAACGGCAGUGCAUACAUAUAUCCCCGGGAAUUCUACACAGCAAUAGAUUAGGAAGGAACUUUGAUACACACUGCAGCUUGGAUAGAUUUUGAGGGAAAUAUGCUCCAUGAAAAAAUUCAGUCCUAAGAGGCCGUGUUCCAUUUGUGUAUCAUCCUUGAAAUGACACAAUUAUAGACAUGGAGAAUUGGUUAGUGGUUGCCAGGGGUCAGCAGGUGGGAGGGAGCGAGGAGAGGCUGUAGAAGGGCCCUGUGAGGGAUCCUGGUGGAGAUGGAAAUGCUCUAUCACUUUUAUCAAUGGAAUGUCCGUUUCAGUGGAAAUAGUCACUGAUCAUAUCAAUGUCAAUGUCCUGAUUGUGGCACAAUCUAGUUUUGCAAAUUUUAGCAUUGGGGGAAUCUGGGUAAAAGAUACAUAAGGUCCCUAUACUACUUUGUACAAUUGAAUUUGAAUGUACAAA
rnacentral:lncRNA from 1 species